rnacentral:rRNA from 1 species
GACGAACGCUGGCGGCGUGCUUAACACAUGCAAGUCGAACGGAAAGGCCCUGCUUUUGUGGGGUGCUCGAGUGGCGAACGGGUGAGUAACACGUGAGUAACCUGCCCUUGACUUUGGGUUAACUUCAGGAAACUGGGGCUAAUACCGGAUAGGAGCUCCUGCUGCAUGGUGGGGGUUGGAAAGUUUCGGCGGUUGGGGAUGGACUCGCGGCUUAUCAGCUUGUUGGUGGGGUAGUGGCUUACCAAGGCUUUGACGGGUAGCCGGCCUGAGAGGGUGACCGGCCACAUUGGGACUGAGGUACGGCGCAGACUCCUACGGGAGGCAGCAGUGGGGAAUAUUGCACAAUGGGCGGAAGCCUGAUGCAGCGACGCCGCGUGCGGGAUGACGGCCUUCGGGUUGUAAACCGCUUUCGCCUGUGACGAAGCGUGAGUGACGGUAAUGGGUAAAGAAGCACCGGCUAACUACGUG